rnacentral:rRNA from 1 species
UUGCUUCUCUUGAGAGCGGCGGACGGGUGAGUAAUGCCUAGGAAUCUGCCUGGUAGUGGGGGAUAACGUUCGGAAACGGACGCUAAUACCGCAUACGUCCUACGGGAGAAAGCAGGGGACCUUCGGGCCUUGCGCUAUCAGAUGAGCCUAGGUCGGAUUAGCUAGUUGGUGGGGUAAUGGCUCACCAAGGCGACGAUCCGUAACUGGUCUGAGAGGAUGAUCAGUCACACUGGAACUGAGACACGGUCCAGACUCCUACGGGAGGCAGCAGUGGGGAAUAUUGGACAAUGGGCGAAAGCCUGAUCCAGCCAUGCCGCGUGUGUGAAGAAGGUCUUCGGAUUGUAAAGCACUUUAAGUUGGGAGGAAGGGUUGUAGAUUAAUACUCUGCAAUUUUGACGUUACCGACAGAAUAAGCACCGGCUAACUCUGUGCCAGCAGCCGCGGUAAUACAGAGGGUGCAAGCGUUAAUCGGAAUUACUGGGCGUAAAGCGCGCGUAGGUGGUU